AAAGGGAGACCUAAUUCAGGUAGGAGACGAAAAAAAGUAGUCCCUACCAAGAAUCAAUCCCAAAAGGUCGGAGCGAGGCAAAAUUGGCUUUCAAACUAGGUUCUGGGUUCACAUAAGACCUGAAUCAGGAACAAGGGCUAUUAGCUCAGGUGGUUAGAGCGCACCCCUGAUAAGGGUGAGGUCCCUGAAUCAGGAACAAGGGCUAUUAGCUCAGGUGGUUAGAGCGCACCCCUGAUAAGGGUGAGGUCCCUGGUUCGAGUCCAGGAUGGCCCACCUGCACAGGUGGCAAAAACAAAGAAAAGAAGCUCCGAAUCAGCACCUUAUCUUACUCAUAUAGUAAGAGAGAAUGCUGGCUCUGAGUUCAGAGUCCAGAGGAACCUUGAAAACUGCAUAGAGCUAGGUGAAAAAGCCAAAAAAGAAGACCGCAAG
rnacentral:tRNA from 1 species